GACAGAGGGUGCAAACGUUGUUCGGAAUUACUGGGCGUAAAGCGUGCGCAGGCGGUGAUGUAAGACAGAUGUGAAAUCCCCGGGCUCAACCUGGGACCUGCAUUUGUGACUGCAUCGCUGGAGUACGGUAGAGGGGGAUGGAAUUCCGCGUGUAGCAGUGAAAUGCGUAGAUAUGCGGAGGAACACCGAUGGCGAAGGCAAUCCCCUGGACCUGUACUGACGCUCAUGCACGAAAGCGUGGGGAGCAAACAGG
rnacentral:rRNA from 1 species